CCUACGGGAGGCAGCAGUGGGGAAUAUUGCACAAUGGGGGAAACCCUGAUGCAGCGACGCCGCGUGAGUGAAGAAGUAAUUCGUUAUGUAAAGCUCUAUCAGCAGGGAAGAAAAUGACGGUACCUGAGUAAGAAGCCCCGGCUAACUACGUGCCAGCAGCCGCGGUAAUACGUAGGGGGCAAGCGUUGUCCGGAUUCACUGGGUGUAAAGGGAGCGUAGGCGGCAGGUCAAGUCUGGUGUGAAAGGCGGAGGCUCAACCCGCGGACUGCUCUUGAAACUGGACGGCUGGAGUGCAGGAGAGGUAAAUGGAAUUCCUAGUGUAGCGGUGAAAUGCGUAGAUAUUAGGAGGAACACCAGUGGCGAAGGCGGUUUACUGGACCGUAACUGACGUUGAGGAUCGAAAGCGAGGGGAGCAAACAGGAUUAGAUACCCGUGUAGUC
rnacentral:rRNA from 1 species